rnacentral:rRNA from 1 species
CCUACGGGAGGCAGCAGUGGGGAAUAUUGGACAAUGGGCGAAAGCCUGAUCCAGCAAUGCCGCGUGAGUGAUGAAGGCCUUAGGGUUGUAAAGCUCUUUUACCCGGGAUGAUAAUGACAGUACCGGGAGAAUAAGCUCCGGCUAACUCCGUGCCAGCAGCCGCGGUAAUACGGAGGGAGCUAGCGUUAUUCGGAAUUACUGGGCGUAAAGCGCACGUAGGCGGCUUUGUAAGUAAGAGGUGAAAGCCUGGUGCUCAACACCAGAACUGCCUUUUAGACUGCAUCGCUUGAAUCCAGGAGAGGUGAGUGGAAUUCCGAGUGUAGAGAUGAAAUUCGUAGAUAUUCGGAAGAACACCAGUUGGCGAAGGCGGCUC